rnacentral:lncRNA from 1 species
UGGAAGAAUGAAAUUGAAGUUAUAAGGAAAGUGGGAAGGGAGGGGUCCCUAUUUAUAAAAAAUGGGAACUGUUAGAUUUGCGACAAGUGGCAAAAUCUGCUGAGGAGAGAGAAAGUGAAUGGGAAAGGAGUGACGUGAUAUCUAACAGAUGUGACCGAUGGACGAAUGAUGUGACGCAAUGACGACAUAAAAAAUAAAGGCACGUCUUCCCAAUGACAGCAACACACUACCUAAGAUAGUAGCAGCACACCGCCCAAAGGGGCAGCGCGCACUGCCUGAGGCAACAGUACGCCUCCCCAGUUGGCAGCACGCGUGGAAGGCCUAUAGCCCACAAGUCAUUGCACGCAAGCCUAUUGCAUGCAGGCCUAUCGCAUUGGCCUACUGCGUGGAUCGCGCAUGCACAGAGCGCACAACGCCCUACCAGUUUGUGCGUGAUAGGACGCAUGUAGACUGU